rnacentral:lncRNA from 1 species
AUCCUUACAAAAUCAGAUGUAUGUCAAACUGUCCUUACAAUAUAAGAUGUAUGCCAAACUAUAUCCUUACAAAAUCAGAUGUAUGCCAAACUAUAUCCUUACAAAAUCGGAUGUAUGCAAAACUGUCCUUACAAUAUAAGAUGUAUGCCAAACUAUAUCCUUACAAAAUCAAAUGUAUGCAAAACUGUCCUUACAAUAUAAGAUGUAUGCCAAACUAUAUCCUUACAAAAUCAGAUAAAUGCCAAACUAUAUCCUUACAAAAUCAAAUGUAUGCCAAACUGUAUCUUUACAAUAUCAGAUGUAUGCCAGCCUGUAUCCUUACAAAAUCAGAUGUAUGCCAAACUAUAU